GACAGAGGGUGCAAACGUUGUUCGGAAUUACUGGGCGUAAAGCGCGUGUAGGCUGCUUGGAAAGUCGGAUGUGAAAGCCCUGGGCUCAACCCAGGAAGUGCACUCGAAACUUCCGAGCUCGAGUUCUGGAGAGGAUAGCGGAAUUCUCGGUGUAGAGGUGAAAUUCGUAGAUAUUCGGAAGAACACCAGUGGCGAAGGCGACUCACUGGACACAUAUUGACGCUGAGGUGCGAAAGCGUGGGGAGCAAACAGG
rnacentral:rRNA from 1 species